rnacentral:rRNA from 1 species
UAAGGAAUAUUGGACAAUGGUCGCAAGACUGAUCCAGCCAUGCCGCGUGCAGGAAGACGGCCCUAUGGGUUGUAAACUGCUUUUGUACCAGAGAAAACCUAUCUACGUGUAGAUAGCUGAUAGUAAGGUAAGAAUAAGCAUCGGCUAACUUCGUGCCAGCAGCCGCGGUAAGACGAAGGAUGCAAGCGUUAUCCGGAUUCAUUGGGUUUAAAGGGUGCGUAGGCGGGCUUGUAAGUCAGUGGUGAAAUCUCUCAGCUUAACUGAGAAACUGCCAUUGAUACUGCAGGCCUAGAGUAUAGAUGACGUUGGCGGAAUAUGACAUGUAGUGGUGAAAUACUUAGAUAUGUCAUAGAACACCGAUUGCGAAGGCAGCUAACGAAACUAUAACUGACGCUGAGGCACGAAAGUGCGGGGAUCAAACA